rnacentral:rRNA from 1 species
GAUUAAGUUAUUAAGGGCGCACGGUGGAUGCCUUGGCACUAGAAGCCGAUGAAGGACGUUACUAACGACGAUAUGCUUUGGGGAGCUGUAAGUAAGCUUUGAUCCAGAGAUUUCCGAAUGGGGAAACCCAGCAUGAGUUAUGUCAUGUUAUCGAUAUGUGAAUACAUAGCAUAUCAGAAGGCACACCCGGAGAACUGAAACAUCUUAGUACCCGGAGGAAGAGAAAGAAAAUUCGAUUCCCUUAGUAGCGGCGAGCGAAACGGGAAGAGCCCAAACCAACAAGCUUGCUUGUUGGGGUUGUAGGACACUCUAUACGGAGUUACAAAGGACGACAUUAGACGAAUCAUCUGGAAAGAUGAAUCAAAGAAGGUAAUAAUCCUGUAGUCGAAAAUGUUGUCUCUCUUGAGUGGAUCCUGAGUACGACGGAGCACGUGAAAUUCCGUCGGAAUCUGGGAGGACCAUCUCCUAAGGCUAAAUACUCUCUAGUGACCGAUAGUGAACCAGUACCGUGAGGGAAAGGUGAAAAGCACCCCGGAAGGGGAGUGAAAUAGAACCUGAAACCGUGUGCUUACAAGUAGUCAGAGCCCGUUAAUGGGUGAUGGCGUGCCUUUUGUAGAAUGAACCGGCGAGUUACGAUUUGAUGCAAGGUUAAGCAGUAAAUGUGGAGCCGUAGCGAAAGCGAGUCUGAAUAGGGCGUUUAGUAUUUGGUCGUAGACCCGAAACCAGGUGAUCUACCCUUGGUCAGGUUGAAGUUCAGGUAACACUGAAUGGAGGACCGAACCGACUUACGUUGAAAAGUGAGCGGAUGAACUGAGGGUAGCGGAGAAAUUCCAAUCGAACCUGGAGAUAGCUGGUUCUCUCCGAAAUAGCUUUAGGGCUAGCCUCAAGUGAUGAUUAUUGGAGGUAGAGCACUGUUUGGACGAGGGGCCCCUCUCGGGUUACCGAAUUCAGACAAACUCCGAAUGCCAAUUAAUUUAACUUGGGAGUCAGAACAUGGGUGAUAAGGUCCGUGUUCGAAAGGGAAACAGCCCAGACCACCAGCUAAGGUCCCAAAAUAUAUGUUAAGUGGAAAAGGAUGUGGCGUUGCCCAGACAACUAGGAUGUUGGCUUAGAAGCAGCCAUCAUUUAAAGAGUGCGUAAUAGCUCACUAGUCGAGUGACACUGCGCCGAAAAUGUACCGGGGCUAAACAUAUUACCGAAGCUGUGGAUUGUCCUUUGGACAAUGGUAGGAGAGCGUUCUAAGGGCGUUGAAGCAUGAUCGUAAGGACAUGUGGAGCGCUUAGAAGUGAGAAUGCCG